rnacentral:lncRNA from 1 species
UUGAUUUGGCUAGGAUCAAUCUGGGAGGCUGUAAUGUGUGAGAGUAAUGGGAGGACGAAACGGAUCUGUGAGCUGGGAUAUUGGGAGAUCAACAUGGGACGGCUAGGAUCAAACUUAGAGCAUUAAUCGUUAAGCACUUAAAGGAUGACGUGGACAUGGGCACCGCUACAAACGCGAAGGAAAUUUGCAUUGAACUGAAUCAUGGAAGAAAGGAAUACAUGAUCUUGACGUUGUACCGCUAGGAUGGAAGCUUGAUCCCUAGAUACAGGAGGUGCAUGUGGUUCAGGUUUAGACAUCAUCCCAAUUGGUUUGACUCGACUUGCACACAUUAGACUCGACC